GGUCGCUUAGCUCAGUUGGUUAGAGCGUGGUGCUAAUAACGCCAAGGCCGCGAGUUCGACCCACGUAGUGACCA
rfam:Blumeria graminis f. sp. hordei DH14, WGS project CATH01000000 data, contig: 006638